UUCUUUUUCAUGGAAAGUGUGCUUUCUCCUCUGCUACCUCACACAAGUUUUAAAAGAGCUUGUUUCUGCCAAGGGAGGCUUGGGGGCAUUUUGGGGACAGACUCUACAGUUUACUAGUGGCCCCAGGAAGUCCUACAAAACAGAUGAAAUCAGUAUUGGAGAAGUGGUCUCACGAAGAUGGGAGCAGGAUUACUCCAAUUGACUGCUGACUUCUCACCCUAGGAAAUAACCGUAUCCCAGCCUGAUCUCAGUGGAUAAGCCCACAGGGUUAAGGAGUAAUCAUCAUGCUCCAUUUUGUUUUUGAGCCAUCUUCAGCCUUUGAGUCCUUAAGCUUUUUGGAGACAGUUUGUGGAGAAGGUCCUCACAACAUUGUGCAACAGGUGUGAAAGAUGAAGUCUCCAUUUACAGCUGCUGAAAUAGGCUGAGAGAGGUUCAUCUAGGGGUGAUUGAGGCUACAAAAUUUAUGCCACGUUUUCAACUGUCAAGGCUGCUUUCAGAAUCCAGAGGAGGCCUGGGAAGAACUUCAGCAAGGUCUUGCUGGUAUUUAGCCCCCUGAAGUAUAGAAGAUGACACUUGCUGACAGGGGAGGAAACCGAGGAGGCAGCACAAAGGAGGAUGGUGUUUGUGCAGAGAUGAGAGGGGUGCAGCUUUCACCGACAAGGGAGUGCAGCUCACCAACCCCAGGGAGUGUUCCAUGCCAGAGAUGGAGAGGGACAGCUAGGACAUUAUCCCAGACCCCUUCAUGUCUCCUCCAAACAAGGAGGCCUCCAACUCCAGGAAGUUAGCAGCUCAUAAAGGAUGAGUUGAUUUAGAGCCUUUCCUUGUGAAGAGGUUGGAAGAGCCCGGGUUCAAAGGCUUUGACAUAAACCAACAACUGGGCCCCUGCUGGGAAGUCAUCAGUGCUUGAGGGUCCCAUCCAUUACUUUUGUAAAGACACAUGCCUUGUGGACUUAUAAAUAAAACCUCAAAGGUGACGACAAUCCAGCAGCUGUGUAGAUGGUUGCAUCCUUAUGAACUGCGGACAGAAGCUGAAGUGGACAGGAGUCAGGGCAACUUUCUGGACAGCAGAUUCAACCUGUUUCCUAGACUUUCCAUCACCACCAGUGAAUUCCGAGUGACAGUAGUGUGGAAUUUGGAAGAAUGGAAGAGAAACUGAAGUAGAGAGAUGGUGAAAGAGAAGAAAAAAUGAAGAAAGAUGCUUGCAAAAAUACUGCCGUGGGUCCUGAGAUGAAGAUUCUGGGAGGGGAUGGUCAAGGGGGAGCAGGAUCAUCUUAGACCAUGAGGGAGGAUGAGCUGGAAGAAUGAAGAGAGAAGUGUCUUGAUGAGGAGGUGGAGGUGUAUGAAGUGACGAAGAGUCUGUGAGGAGAAUGAGGAAGGGCAACCAGAGAAAUCAAGAAAAAUUAGGAGACAGAUCUCCUAGAAGCCAAGAAGAUGGUGGUAAACUAAUAAGUGAUGGGAGCAGUGAAGGAAAAAAAAAAAAAAAACUCGGAGUAUGUUUAUAUUGGUGGCAAAAAGAGUUUGCUUUCAAGUGACUUGUUAGCACACCUGUGAUCUGACUAAGUUACAUCAGUGGGAGGCAGAGGAUGAAAGGAUGCCGGCCUCUGAGACCGACUUCAGUUCUUUGAGUGUUUGAGAAACACUUCAAGUCUUAGUCAGUGGCUUUGGUCAUGGUGAGGAUGAUGCCCUGAGGGCUUUCACCGCAGAGACAAGCCGACUUGUUCAAAUCCAUUCUCAAAUAGUAAAACACAGGCAAAGGUAAAACAUGCAGAACUACUGCACCAUGAUCAAAACAUGUACUCUGUCACAUCUAAUGGCUUCAGGCACCCCUUGAACUUUUGAGUUAGCAAAAACAGGCAAAUAAAGAUGAAACUUGUCUUUCA